GCCAUUUCGCGCGGUAAAUCCAAAAAUUUGCGAAACCGGACGGCGAAACAAUUCUAUGGAAAAUGUCAUUUCCGCAAUCGCAUCGUCAAGAAUUGAUUGAGCUGGCUCAAACAACGAGAAUUUUGACGAUACCUGGCGUUCUCGGCAUCAUAUUGGAAUUGUUGGAGUUACAAGUGUCUCCAGAAGAUAUUUACAUUCUUCUUAAACAAAUUGCGACAAGAACAUCAAGCCGACAGACAAUAAACGAGGGUGCGCACGUUUCCACCAAAAAAUAGCAUUUUGUAUAUUAGAAAGUUGCUAACUUUAGCAAUAAAUAUCUUUGAUUACGGUGUCAGAAGAAAGAAUCUAUUUAUAUAGUAUACAGAUGUUAACAAUCUAUAGUGUAAAAGAUUUAUAAUUGCAAUUAAACAAAUAUUUGUGUCUA